CUAUUGAGACCCAGCAGCUGUGGCAAGCAUUUACUACCAACAAGAGGCAGUUCCAAGAGAAGAAUAUAAAACACGCUCUGCUCAACCCCACGAAACUCGGAGUGUCUCACAAUGGCCAAUUUAUUAUUUUUACCCUGUCCAGUGACACGGAAGGAUGCAUCAGGGAGCUGCUAGCCUCUGCGAUGAAUAACUUAAGUCAGGCUGCAACAUGUGAAGUAAUUCAGCUGACCAGGAUUUAUAACGCUAGCUGGAGUUUUCUGCUUUCUUUGGGGUUCAUGAAGCAUGGUGUUGCAAGAGACCACAGGAGUCCUGUGAUGAGAUGUUGUCCCAGAUGGUCUCACCUACCCGAUGCCCCAUGGACUAUGCUGGGCUGGAAUUUCUUCUGCAUGUUAUUUAUGUGUACUUGACCAAACUAGAGAGGCAGGAAUGCAGGUACGAUGUCCAGGUCGGCCCACCCCUUUCCUGCAGGCAGGCUGGAAGGAUUGGAACAGGAUGGCAUGGAGUAAACAUAUCUCAGCAGCUACCUGGAGCAGGUAGACUUUCACGACACUGAGAAGAGUCUAGAUCUUCGCUCUCCCGGUGGGCUAUGGGACACUCACUCAUCUCAAACCUUGGACGCUGUAUUUACAGAGUCCAAGGAUGGAAAUGACCUUAGAAGAUGGCUGGAAUUCCCAUUUUUCAAAGGGGCAAUAAUUUGUGUGUCCUUUUUGUGUGUUGGCACUUCAGAGCAAUGUUAAAAGAAGAAAAAACAAAAACAUAAAACCACUCCCACACGAUUGUGUAGUCAUUCUGAUCCCUAUUUUAACCAGGGAAUUUAAUGAGAGUUCCCCAAUCUGUGGAGAAAGGAGAAAAUGCCCACAGGGUGAGGAUUUGGCCGAUGCCUGUAGGUCUCUGUUGACAAAGCAGCCUUUGAAUCUGUGGUACCUCUGAAUGGAGUCCUACCAUCUUUCAAGGUUAUUGCCUGACUACAGGUUAAAUAUCUUAAUAUUCACUGAUUGGGGGAAAGCACUACGAGCAAAUUGAAUGCAAGGUCCAGGAACACCCAGGUCUUUGGUGACUAUAUAAAAUGUAAAUGCAUUCUUUAUUAUCUCAAGUCACUGCACGCCCAAGUGGCUCUUCUGUAAGAAAAACAUAGCUUGCUGAUAAUGAGCAUGAAAAUUACUAAGGAAUGGGCAGAGUAAAUCUCUCAAAUCUUUUCUGUCUCCGCCCUCCCCCCACCCCCAUUUCGGAACCAUGAUGUGACUUUGCUAAUUUGAGUAUGUGUCCCUGUCUAGAUUUUACAAAUAAACUUAAAGUUUAU
rnacentral:lncRNA from 1 species